UUCGAUUCGGUGUGACAAGGCCCGGGAACGUAUUCACCGCAGCGUUGUUGAUCUGCGAUUACUAGCGACUCCGACUUCAUGGGGUCGGGUUGCAGACCCCAAUCCGAACUGAGACCGGCUUUUUCCGAUUGGCUCCCUCUUGCGAGUUUGCGGCGGUUUGUACCGGCCAUUGUAGCACGUGUGUAGCCCUGGACAUAAAGGCCAUGAGGACUUGACGUCAUCCCCACCUUCCUCCGUUUUGUCAACGGCAGUCUCUCUAGAAUGCCCAACUAAAUGCUGGCAACUAAAGAUAAGGGUUGCGCUCGUUGCGGGACUUAACCCAACAUCUCACGACACGAGCUGACGACAGCCAUGCAGCACCUUGCACUCUGUCUGGUUUUACCCAGAAGGCCCUAUCUCUAGGGUUGUCAGAGGCAUUCUAGCCCAGGUAAGGUUCUUCGCGUUAAUCACUA
rnacentral:rRNA from 1 species